AAACCUGAGGAACCCGAAAGAUCGAAUGGGGAGAUUCAGCGUCAGCGGCGCUGGCUCGGCCGAGCGAGCGAUGUUGCGGACUACGGAUCGCGACACGUCAUCGCUCAUGCCUUGUCCGGUGUCGUCGUCGUGCACUUCUUCUCUAGUAGAACGUCGCGACCCGUUGGGUGCCGGUCUACGGUCCGAGCGGUAGACUGUCGCGUCGCUUCGGCGCACGCGUCAGACCCUCGGUCGCCCGGCCGGCUGCCCGGCGGUCGAACUUAUAAGGUAUCUUGCCGCAAUUAUCGAACUGCGUCGGGCCCGCCGCAAGCGCGGUCAGUGUCUCGGAGGUACGGACCUGGUGCCGGCACCGAGCCUGACCAGCUGUUGGCAGGCGGAGUCCUCGGACGGGCAAUACACAAUAAUACCGGUCUGCGACGCUACUGCUUUGGGUACUCUCAGGACCCGUCUUGAAACACGGACCAAGGAGUCUAACAUGUGCGCGAGUCAUUGGGACUGCAAAGCCUAAAGGCGUAAUGAAAGUGAAGGUCGACCUCGCGUCGACCGAGGGAGGAUGGGCCGCGUUAAGACGCGGCUCCGCACUCCCGGGGCGUCUCGUUCUCAUUGCGAGAAGAGGCGCACCCAGAGCGUACACGUUGGGACCCGAAAGAUGGUGAACUAUGCCUGGUCAGGACGAAGUCAGGGGAAACCCUGAUGGAGGUCCGUAGCGAUUCUGACGUGCAAAUCGAUCGUCGGAACUGGGUAUAGGGGCGAAAGACUAAUCGAACCAUCUAGUAGCUGGUUCCCUCCGAAGUUUCCCUCAGGAUAGCUGGCACUCGCCCGUUCUCAUCGAACGUAAACGAGUCUCAUCUGGUAAAGCGAAUGAUUAGAGGCCUUGGGGCCGAAACGACCUCAACCUAUUCUCAAACUUUAAAUGGGUGAGAUCUCUGGCUUGCUUGAACUAUGAAGCCAUGAGAGAUUUCGGAUCAGAGUGCCAAGUGGGCCAAUUUUGGUAAGCAGAACUGGCGCUGUGGGAUGAACCAAACGCAGAGUUAAGGCGCCUAAGUCGACGCUUAUGGGAUACCAUGAAAGGCGUUGGUUGCUUAAGACAGCAGGACGGUGGCCAUGGAAGUUGGAAUCCGCUAAGGAGUGUGUAACAACUCACCUGCCGAAGCAACUAGCCCUGAAAAUGGAUGGCGCUGAAGCGUCGCGCCUAUACUCUGCCGUCAGCGGCAAGUGUGGCGGUUUGCCCCCCACGGGGCGCCGCUAUGAAGCCCUGACGAGUAGGAGGGUCGCGGCGGUGUGCGCAGAAGGGUCUGGGCGUGAGCCUGCCUGGAGCCGCCGUCGGUGCAGAUCUUGGUGGUAGUAGCAAAUACUCCAGCGAGGCCCUGGAGGACUGACGUGGAGAAGGGUUUCGUGUGAACAGCCGUUGCACACGAGUCAGUCGAUCCUAAGCCCUAGGAGAAAUCCUAUGUCGAUGACGGUGUGCAAACAUAAUGUUGUUCGUAAAUAACGACACACACCCGUCGGGCGAAAGGGAAUCCGGUUCCUAUUCCGGAACCCGGCAGCGGAACCGCAUGCAAUUCGGGCCCUCGUAAGAGUGUUCGUCGGGGUAACCCAAAAUGACCUGGAGACGCCGUCGGGAGAUCCGGGAAGAGUUUUCUUUUCUG
rnacentral:rRNA from 1 species